AUGGGUCGCUGAUAAAAGGUCCCUCUGAAGGUUUGAAGAUACUCAACAAGGCUCCACAGAGGGUACUUUGGAGUUUUCCGCGAAGGCGCUCGCCCCGCAGAACCGACAAGGCCCCUAAAACCGACAAUGCCCAGACGCCCCCUGCAGGCAGCGCGCUAGAGAACGCGUUGGCUGUUUCUGGCACGCUGAGGCCACCGUACGGCAUCAAGGGUGAAGCAUGGUGGCUAGCGGAGCCCGCAUCCUGACAGGUGUGCUGGCGUGGCCCUCUACCUGCCCCGCCGCGGCGGCCUGCGGCCAGGAGAAGUAGGCUGGCGACAUCUGGCGGGCCGCGGGCCGAGGGAGGGGAGGCGGGGCGGGGCGGUGUCUCCCUCACGUGACCCCAACAGCGCCCAGCGCGUCGCGCUGCGCCCCAACCUCGGGGUCGGUCACAGUCUGCGCCUGCGCGGGCCCCGGCUCGCUAGCCGUCCUGCGGGACGCCGGCGCUGAUGGGUGAGUGUGGGACGAGCGUGGGGAAGCACCGGGCUUUCUUCGCAUGAGGUUGGAGGGAGGGGAAACGCGCUGAAGGGCCCGCUGGGGCAGGCUGCCGCCCUGGGGGCCCAUCCCUGUCUUCUGCGCGCUCCGGCUGCCCUGGCCCGGUCCCUGCGGGCCCCACCCAGGCGGCGCGGGCGGAAUCAGUUCUGAGCCUCCUCGGCUCCGGGCUCCCCCGCCUGCCGCGGGUGUUUGUCCGGCUGCUGGGCGACCUUUCCCGCGAAGGCGCUGUCCCUUCAUUCGGGCGCGCCCUGGGCUGGGGAGGCACCUCCCUGGUGCACAGGAACCGCAGGGGCGGGGAGGAGCCGGGAGCUGCCUGCGCCCGGGGGACAGCGGGGAUGGCACCGCGCAAGGGCCUCUGCGUCCCGGGAGACUGGGAUUUCGGCCUCACCUCGGGACCCCUGACUGUGAAGUGUCAGAAACGGAAGAGGACUUAGUGAUCUUGUCCAACCCCCUCCCCGCCUUUCACAGGUUGGGGAAAUGGACGCCUGGAGAACGGUAAGUUCAGCUACAUAGCCUGGCAGUGCUUGUUCUGCGACAGCAUAUUGCAUCGCGUUGUAGGAAGCUCACUUGUACAAGGAUUUUCGGGGACGAUGGUGUUGGUGGUGUUAGUCUCCAUCCAUUAUUUGGUGUUCAGUUUAGCUAGAUGGAGUAUGUCAGCACCUCAACUUCCUGCAAAACCUUUGUUUUGCAUCUCACAGCUCUACCUAGCUGAUCUUAAUUCCCACCUUCUGUUUUUCUCUACUUGUAAUCUCUGAAACAUGACUCAGACCUGCUGACUAGUGGAA
rnacentral:lncRNA from 1 species